rnacentral:rRNA from 1 species
AUGGCGAACAAACACUCGUCCCUCUCCCUCUUCCUCGUCCUCCUUGGCCUGUCGGCAAGCUUAGCCUCCGGUCAAGUCCUGUUUCAGGGUUUCAACUGGGAGUCGUGGAAGCACAAUGGCGGGUGGUACAACUUCCUGAUGGGCAAGGUGGACGACAUCGCCGCCGCCGGCGUCACGCACGUGUGGCUCCCCCCGGCGUCGCAGUCCGUCGCCGAGCAAGGGUACAUGCCGGGCCGGCUGUACGACCUGGACGCGUCCAAGUACGGCAACAAGGCGCAGCUCAAGUCCCUGAUCGGGGCGCUCCACGGCAAGGGCGUCAAGGCCAUCGCCGACAUCGUCAUCAACCACCGCACGGCGGAGCGCAAGGACGGCCGGGGCAUCUACUGCAUCUUCGAGGGCGGCACCCCUGACGCGCGCCUCGACUGGGGCCCCCACAUGAUCUGCCGCGACGACCGGCCCUACGCCGACGGCACGGGCAACCCAGACACCGGCGCCGACUUCGGGGCCGCCCCGGACAUCGACCACCUCAACCCGCGCGUCCAGAAGGAGCUCGUGGAGUGGCUCAACUGGCUCAGGACCGACGUCGGCUUCGACGGCUGGCGCUUCGACUUCGCCAAGGGCUACUCCGCGGACGUCGCCAAGAUCUACAUCGACCGCUCGGAGCCCAGCUUCGCCGUGGCCGAGAUAUGGACGUCGCUGGCGUACGGCGGGGACGGCAAGCCCAACCUCAACCAGGACCAGCACCGGCAGGAGCUGGUGAACUGGGUGAACAAGGUGGGCGGCUCCGGCCCCGGCACCACGUUCGACUUCACCACCAAAGGCAUCCUCAACGUGGCUGUGGAGGGCGAGCUGUGGCGGCUGCGCGGCACCGACGGCAAGGCGCCAGGCAUGAUCGGGUGGUGGCCAGCCAAGGCGGUGACCUUCGUGGACAACCAUGACACCGGCUCCACGCAGCACAUGUGGCCCUUCCCUUCCGACAAGGUCAUGCAGGGAUACGCCUACAUCCUCACGCACCCUGGGACCCCAUGCAUCUUCUACGAUCAUUUCUUCGACUGGGGGCUGAAGGAGGAGAUCGAUCGCCUGGUGUCAAUCAGGACCCGGCAGGGGAUACACAGUGAGAGCAAGCUGCAAAUCAUAGAGGCCGACGCCGACCUUUACCUGGCCGAGAUCGAUGGCAAGGUCAUCGUCAAGCUCGGGCCAAGAUACGAUGUCGGGCACCUCAUUCCUCAAGGCUUCAAGGUGGUCGCGCACGGCAAUGACUAUGCCGUAUGGGAGAAAAUAUAA